rnacentral:rRNA from 1 species
ACGCACGCUGGCGGCGUGCUUAACACAUGCAAGUCGAACGGAAAGGCCCUGCUUUUGUGGGGUGCUCGAGUGGCGAACGGGUGAGUAACACGUGAGUAACCUGCCCUUGACUUUGGGAUAACUUCAGGAAACUGGGGCUAAUACCGGAUAGGAGCUCCUGCUUCAUGGUGGGGGUUGGAAAGUUUCGGCGGUUGGGGAUGGACUCGCGGCUUAUCAGCUUGUUGGUGGGGUAGUGGCUUACCAAGGCUUUGACGGGUAGCCGGCCUGAGAGGGUGACCGGCCACAUUGGGACUGAGAUACGGCCCAGACUCCUACGGGAGGCAGCAGUGGGGAAUAUUGCACAAUGGGCGGAAGCCUGAUGCAGCAACGCCGCGUGCGGGAUGACGGCCUUCGGGUUGUAAACCGCUUUCGCCUGUGACGAAGCGUGAGUGACGGUAAUGGGUAAAGAAGCACCGGCUAACUACGUG